GCUAGUAAUACGCGGAUCAGCAUGCCGCGGUGAAUACGUUCCCGGGCCUUGUACACACCGCCCGUCACACCAUGGGAGCCGGUAAUACCCGAAGUCAGUAGUCCAACCACGUGAGGACGCUGCCGAAGGUAGGAUUGGCGACUGGGGUGAAGUCGUAACAAGGUACC
rnacentral:rRNA from 1 species